UACGUAAGUGGCGAGCGUUAUCCGGAAUUACUGGGCGUAAAGCGCACGUAGGCGGACCGAUAAGUCGGGGGUGAAAUCCUGGAGCUCAACUCCAGAACUGCCUUCGAAACUGCCGGUCUUGAGUUCGGGAGAGGUGAGUGGAACUGCGAGUGUAGAGGUGAAAUUCGUAGAUAUUCGCAAGAACACCAGUGGCGAAGGCGGCUCACUGGCCCGAUACUGACGCUGAGGUGCGAAAGCGUGGGGAGCAAACAGG
rnacentral:rRNA from 1 species